GUAUAUGAGGGCAAACCAGCUGAAACACCUUCCACACCAGUGAUUGCCAGGGUUGAUUCAGUGAUCUGGAUGGCUUGGAAGCUGUUCCCUUCUUCCUCACCACUCCAUGUGUGUCCUUGUCUUACAGAAGAGAACUGGUCUUAGUUCAAAGACAUACAGAUAGCUACCCUUCUCCACUAGAAUCUCCAAACAGCUCUCAAGAGUCAUUANUGGAAUAAGCAAUUAAAUGGAUACAACUAGUAUCCAUU
rnacentral:snRNA from 1 species